rnacentral:rRNA from 1 species
CGCCCAGUAACUAGCCCCUUAACAAUAAUCAACCGCUACUUAUACAUAACCCUACAUAUACUAUAAUUAAUAACUAAAUCAUUCUUCCCCCUAAGUAUGGGCGACAGAAAAGGAUCCCAGGAGCGACAGCAAAUGUACCGCAAGGGAACGCUGAAAGAGAAAUGAAAUAACCCGGCCCAAGCAGUAAAAAGCAGAGAUUUUACCUCGUACCUUUUGCAUCAUGAUUUAGCAAGUACUACCAAGCAAAAAGCACUUUAGUUUGCCUCCCCGAAACCAAGUGAGUUACUCCAAGACAACCUAAAAUUAGGGUAAACCCGUCUCUGUGGCAAAAGAGUGGGAAGAGCUUCGAGUAGAGGUGAUAUACCUAUCGAACUUGGCAAUAGCUGGUUGCUUGAGAAAUGAAUAGAAGUUCUGCCUCUUAUAUUCUCCCUCCCAAUGCCGGUUUUCUCCCAUAACCGUUCCCAUAGAUAACAGAAAAUAAGAAAGUCAAUCAAAGGGGGUACAGCCCCUUUGAAACAUGGUACAGCUAUUCCAGGAGGGUACAGAUCAUAAUCAUUAAGGUAGGCAUAUUUAAGUGGGCCUAAAAGCAGCCACCCUGAAAGAAAGCGUUAUAGCUCUAAUAUACCUCACACCCUAAAUCCCGAUAACUAAUCCCAACCCCCUAAUAAUAUCAAGCCCCUCCAUGCAAAUAUGCAAACAUGGAAACGACUAUGCUAAAAUGAGUAAUUAGAGAGAUAAAGCCUCUCUCCCUGUACAAGUGUAAAUCGAAAUGGACUAACCACCGAAACUUAACGGCCCCAAAUAACAGCGGGCACUGAGUAAUGUUCCCAGAAGCAAGAAAAUUACCCAAAAACUUCACCGUUAACCCUACACUGGUGUACUUAAAAGGAAAGGCUAAAAGGAAGAGAAGGAACUCGGCAAAUACUACUAAGCCUCGCCUGUUUACCAAAAACAUCGCCUCUUGCCCAACUUCAUAUAAGAGGUCCCGCCUGCCCUGUGACCCCCUGUUCAACGGCCGCGGUAUUUUGACCGUGCGAAGGUAGCGCAAUCACUUGUCCCUUAAAUGAGGACCUGUAUGAAUGGCACAACGAGGGCUUAACUGUCUCCUCUCCCUAGCCCAUGAAAUUGAUCUUCCCGUGCAGAAGCGGGAAUCCUAGCAUAAGACGAGAAGACCCUAUGGAGCUUUAGACUUCAAGGCAGAUUAUGUCAGCUAUUUUUCUUAAACUAUUACUAAUUAUUAAACCACUGCCUCCUGUCUUUGGUUGGGGCGACCACGGAGAACAAAAAAACCCCCACGUGGAUAAGAAGUACACUUUACUUCCACAACUAUGAGCCACCGCUCUAACGCGCAGAACCUCUGACCUUCUGAUCCGGCAAAGCCGAUCAACGGACCGAGUUACCCUAGGGAUAACAGCGCAAUCCCCUUCAAGAGUCCCUAUCGACAAGGGGGUUUACGACCUCGAUGUUGGAUCAAGACAUCCUAAUGGUGCAGCCGCUAUUAAGGGUUCGUUUGUUCAACGAUUAAAGUCUUACGUGAUCUGAGUUCAGACCGGAGUAAUCCAGGUCAGUUUCUAUCUAUGACCUAAAUCUUUUCUAGUACGAAAGGACCGAAAAGAUAAGGCCCCUAUACCAAAUAUGCCUUACCCUUACCUAAUGAAAUCAACUAAAGUAGGCAAAAGGGCUCCUCCCAACGUUGCAGAUAACAACAU